CCGCUGAACGCUGAGGGGGUGCGCCCUGGAGGGGCUGCGGACCAGGCGCUGGCAGGGCCUGCCCUCCCUCCCACCGUGCUCUCCCAGAGCUCUGCGGGAGCCCCUGCCGCCCCAGGCGUGGGUUCCUCGCCAGCACGAGGAGGGGCCCAGGGAGAGGCCCCGCCCUGCCCGCCCUGAGCUGAACCCCCAUCCCUCCCGAGGCCAGCGUGUGAAGUGCCCCUGGCGGCCGCCCAGGUGCUUCCUGAGUGAUGGGCCAUUUCCUCUCCUCUCCCUGCCCUGCAGCUUGAACCGCAGCUGAGAUAUACACUAGCUUUAAAAGGGGCAGUUAUGGAAGUUAAAACUGGGCUCAUUUCUAUGCCUCUGCUGGGGUCGGCUGUCCUGAGCCGAGCCCUGGACCUGAUCUCUCUACGACACUGCCUUGAGUGACAGCUGGGCGCCAGGCUGCGGGGAUCCCUCGCCUCAAGGAACUCCUGGCUAAUUUAGGAGAGGAUCAUGACAUGGAAGGAGACAGAUGGGAAGCACAGGACAACCCCAGCCCAAGUUAGGGAGACAGAGGCCGCAGGAGAGAGGAGCCACCACGUGCUUUAUGAGCACAGGCCAGGCAGAGGCAGGCUUCCACCUGGGGGACGAAGGAAGCUGGACGGCGAAGGUGACCCCUGGGCAGGCCCUGCAGGAUAAGCAGCUUUGGGACAUCACUGUGAACAGGAGCCGUCCAACUUGCGUCAGGCAGUGCACCGUCUUGCAGCUCCGCCCCCUGGAGCCAGCUCCUCCGAGGUCAUCUGCAGGGGAGAGAGCACAAGGAGAGCUCCUGCGUGAUGGUUCACGGCUGGCACUUCAUCCUCUCGGCCAGAAUUAGGUACAUGGGGCAUCGAAAGCACAGAGGAACACACGAGAAUUUGGUGUGCACUUAGAGUCUCUGCCAUGGAAGUAUCCUUCUAAUAUUAAUUUCCUAAAGCGUAUUAAGAAUAGGUGUUAAAGUUUUGCCAAGGGCACUUUGGCAAGUUAUUGACAAUAAAUAAAUAAAGUGACUUUUAUUAGCUUAUUGU
rnacentral:lncRNA from 1 species